GACGUAGGGCGCGAGCGUUGUCCGGAUUUAUUGGGCGUAAAGAGCUCGUAGGCGGUUUGUCGCGUCUGCUGUGAAAACCUGAGGCUCAACCUCGGGCUUGCAGUGGGUACGGGGCAGACUGGAGUGCGGUAGGGGAGAAUGGAAUUCCUGGUGUAGCGGUGGAAUGCGCAGAUAUCAGGAGGAACACCUGUGGUGUAGACAGCUUACUGGACCAUAACUGACGCUGAGGCACGAAAGCGUGGGUAGCAAACAGG
rnacentral:rRNA from 1 species